CGACGUGAGGAACCUGCCUCAAAGAGGGGGACAACAGUUGGAAACGACUGCUGAUACCGCAUAAGCCCACAGCUCGGCAUCGAGCAGAGGGAAAAGGAGUGAUCCGCUUUGAGAUGGCCUCGCGUCCGAUUAGCUAGUUGGUGAGGUAAUGGCCCACCAAGGCGACGAUCGGUAGCCGGACUGAGAGGUUGAACGGCCACAUUGGGACUGAGACACGGCCCAG
rnacentral:rRNA from 1 species